rnacentral:lncRNA from 1 species
GGCGAUUUGGAGUGGAGAGGGACAACUUCUGGAGAGAAAUAAUUGGGGUAAAGUAUGGUGUGAUCGAGGGGGGAUGGUGUACAUUUGAGGAUUGUAGUUUUUAUGGGGUGAGCUUGUGGAGGUAUAUCCGACGGGGAUGUAGUGCAUUUUUGGACAAACUGAAGUUUGUGGUUGGAAAUGGUAAUGAGAUUAAAUUUUGGGAUGAUUGUUGGUGCGGAGAUCAACCGCUGAAGGAGAGAUUCCCUUCUUUGUAUCGUAUUGCCUCAGUGUCCACUACCCUGGUGAGUGAUCUCUUAGACAUUCAUAAUGGGAGCUAUAGCUGGAAUAUAACUUUUGGGAGGGAUCUUUAGGAUUGGGAAUUGGAAGAUUAUUCGCUGUUUAUGACCAUUUUACAUGAGGCCCAAAUUCGGGUUGGAGAGAGGGAUUGCAUUAGGUGGAGGACAGCACAUGAUGUCAUUUUUUCGGUUCGCUUGUACUUUGGUUCCCUCAUGGGAUGUGUGAAUAAUUCAUUUCCAUGGAAGUUGGUAUGGCAGUGUAAAUUGCCUCCUCGGGUGGCAUUCCUAUUGUGGACAGUUGUGAGGGGACAGGUCUCAAUGGUGGAUAAUCUUCAUCGUAAAGGCUUUUAUGCAACCGAGUGGUGUUAUAUGUGCAAGAAGGAUGGGGAGAUGAUCGAUCAUUUGUUCAUUCAUUGUGAUGGUGUAUGUUGGCUUUGGAACAGUAUAAUCAGUUCACAAUCUAUGGAUUGGGUGAUGCCUCGUCGUAUAGAUGACGUGAUACGGGCAUGGCGUAGAAAAUUUCGGGAUAAGGAUAGCAAACUAGCAUGACACCUAAUCCCGGGCUGCAUUGUUUGGUGCGUGUGGAGAGAAAGGAACAAUCGUUGCUUCAAAGACCAAACAAAGAUAAGAGAGCAGAUAAGAGAAAUAUUUUACUUUACCUUGUAUUCUUG